GCGGAGGAAAAGAAACUAACAAGGAUUCCCCUAGUAACGGCGAGUGAAGCGGGAAGAGCUCAAAUUUAAAAUCUGGCGGUCACCCGUCCGAGUUGUAGUCUAGAGAAGCAUCAUUUACGCUGGACCAUGUACAAGUCUCUUGGAACAGAGCGUCAUAGAGGGUGAGAAUCCCGUCCUUGACAUGGACUCCCAGUGUUCUGUGUUGUGCUCUCAACGAGUCGAGUUGUUUGGGAAUGCAGCUCAAAAUGGGUGGUAAAUUCCAUCUAAAGCUAAAUAUUGGCGAAAGACCGAUAGCGAACAAGUACCGUGAGGGAAAGAUGAAAAGCACUUUGGAGAGAGAGUUAAACAGUACGUGAAAUUGUUGAAAUGGAAACGCUUGAAGUCAGUCGCGUUCUCUGGGAUUCAGCCUUGCUUUUGCUUGGUGCAUUUCCUAGUCUACGGGCCAGCAUGGAUUUCGACCGUCGGAGAAGGGCUGGGGGAAUGUGGCACUUUCGGGUGUGUUAUAGCCCCCCGUCGCACACGUCGGUUGGGAUCGAGGACCUCAGUGCACGCUUCGGUUGUGCUUUGAUGCUGGCGUAAUGGCUUUAAACGACCCGUCU
rnacentral:rRNA from 1 species